rnacentral:rRNA from 1 species
AGAGUUUGAUCCUGGCUCAGGAUGAACGCUGGCGGCAUGCCUAAUACAUGCAAGUCGAACGAGAGGAAGGAAAGCUUGCUUUCCUGAAUCUAGUGGCGAACGGGUGAGUAACACGUAGGUAACCUGCCCAUGUGCCCGGGAUAACUUCUGGAAACGGAUGCUAAAGCCGGAUAGGUAGCAGACAAGCAUUUGACUGCUAUUAAAGUGGCCUUGGCCAUGAACAUGGAUGGACCUGCGGUGCAUUAGCUGGUUGGUGAGGUAACGGCCCACCAAGGCGACGAUGCAUAGCCGGCCUGAGAGGGCGGACGGCCACAUUGGGACUGAGACACGGCCCAAACUCCUACGGGAGGCAGCAGUAGGGAAUUUUCGUCAAUGGGGGGAACCCUGAACGAGCAAUGCCGCGUGAGUGAGGAAGGUCUUCGGAUCGUAAAGCUCUGUUGUAAGAGAAAAACGGCACUCAUAGGGAAUGAUGAGUGAGUGAUGGUAUCUUACCAGAAAGUCACGGCUAACUACGUGCCAGCAGCCGCGGUAAUACGUAGGUGGCGAGCGUUAUCCGGAAUGAUUGGGCGUAAAGGGUGCGUAGGUGGCAGAUCAAGUCUGGAGUAAAAGGUAUGGGCUCAACCCGUACUGGCUCUGGAAACUGAUCAGCUAGAGAACAGAAGAGGACGGCGGAACUCCAUGUGUAGCGGUAAAAUGCGUAGAUAUAUGGAAGAACACCGGUGGCGAAGGCGGCCGUCUGGUCUGGAUUCUGACACUGAAGCACGAAAGCGUGGGGAGCAAAUAAGAUUAGAUACCCUAGUAGUCCACGCCGUAAACGAUGAGAACUAGGUGUUGGGGGAAUAACUCAGUGCCGCAGUUAACGCAGUAAGUUCUCCGCCUGGGGAGUAUGCACGCAAGUGUGAAACUCAA